CCAAAGGUGUUUUCACAACACCACAAAAUAUAAUCCAAAAACUUAUAU
rfam:Myotis lucifugus cont2.25844, whole genome shotgun sequence.